rnacentral:rRNA from 1 species
AAAUUGAAGAGUUUGAUCAUGGCUCAGAUUGAACGCUGGCGGCAGGCCUAACACAUGCAAGUCGAACGGUAACAGGAAGCAGCUUGCUGCUUCGCUGACGAGUGGCGGACGGGUGAGUAAUGUCUGGGAAACUGCCUGAUGGAGGGGGAUAACUACUGGAAACGGUGGCUAAUACCGCAUAACGUCGCAAGACCAAAGAGGGGGACCUUCGGGCCUCUUGCCAUCAGAUGUGCCCAGAUGGGAUUAGCUAGUUGGUGAGGUAACGGCUCACCAAGGCGACGAUCCCUAGCUGGUCUGAGAGGAUGACCAGCCACACUGGAACUGAGACACGGUCCAGACUCCUACGGGAGGCAGCAGUGGGGAAUAUUGCACAAUGGGCGCAAGCCUGAUGCAGCCAUG